UUUUUAUGGUGCCCCCAGACAACUUAUCGAUCGUGAUGAUGAAUUGCUUUCGAGCGCGAACUUCGCGAUCGUGUCCGUUGCAGCAAUACGGACUGCAUUAAAAUACGCCCCUAGUGAAAGAUAAAUAGUGCAAGUGAAGCAAUGUUGUGCCAUCCAUGCGGACGACCUAGAACGACUAUGGCAAUGGCAGCAGAUGUUGGUGCACGGACCAAUCUCAACUGGACGUCCUUGGAUCGACGAACGGAGCCGUGCGCACACGCCCGAAGGGCGAUCCCGCAUCGAAUCCUUGAAGUUGCAGCUGACCAUCCAAGAACGCUACUCUCUGCGCAUACUGAUAUGCAAGUGGUUUCGUUAACUUGCUAUCUCGUACAUUAAUUCAUCAUCGAUACCAUCCAUGAAUUAUAGUGCCGAGUGCGAUCGGAUAAGGCGAUACUUCCUUCAUUCAUGGGUCAACUUUCUACACUUUCAGCUCUUCAAUACUCGCCGCCGGUGACACUCUCUCGGACAAAAUCUCCAAUAACGUUAACUAAACACAGCGUUAUGCAGCAUAUAGCACUAGUUCAAAUUCCAAACUGAACAUAUCACAGCAAACGCAAGUGAACGCACGACACAGGCUGUAAAACCGGAAGGCCAACCGAAAACCACCGACGAACGCAACCAACUCACGACGCGGUAAGCGUGUGCACAAAUAUUUGGAACACAACGAAAAUUCGCCACUACGGCCAAACCGGGAAAACAAUUCCAACUGUUGAAAAGUCGAGAGCCGUUCGUCAACUGACAGCGCGCCGUACUGUGCUCGACGGAACAACCUCGCGAUUAUCUUGCUCCAAAGCCUGGAGUGAGUACAUAACUAUGGGACUGUAUGUGAACCAAAAGUGUCCAUCAUCAAGCACGCUUUCGUAAACCAUUCGAGGUCUAUCUCCCAAAAGACGCUGUCGAUCCAGAUCGCCCUAAAGAAACGGAAUACAAUCAUAAUGAUAAUAUUGAACUAAUUUAGAAAGAUUCUGAAAUACUAAACUUGGAUUUGUAAAUAAUUAUUACGAAAUUAAACGGAAUAUAAGCCUUUUCUAAGUAAUAAACUAGCCUAGAAAGUGUCUCAAAACGUAGAAGGGUGCUUUAAAAAAAAUUUGUUUACGAAGACACAUUCAUUCAUUGUUUUGUUUCAUUGAUACAGCUCAAAAUGGAACGAUUUGUACUACGAAUUAGUAUCAAAAAUAUGAUUUUUUAAAUAUACAUGAUGCUGUGAAAACAUUAAUAGUACAGGUAUACCUUGUAAUAUAUAUGCAGAUAUUCACAAUCAACGAAUAGUCUUUUCUAACGUGACACAUGCAGAUGAAUCCGAAAUGUAAAUAUACCCAUGUAAAUGGUAAUACAUCAGAGCCUUAUCUUUCAGUAACAUACAAAUACUAACGCAUAUCAACGAUAUCAAAACUCUUCCACAAAUAGUACUGUACCAGUGUUAAUUGUUUGCUUAACUUAUACUUGUAUCAUUGUAAUUACAUAUUGUGAAA